UUGUAAAAUGCCUUCUCAAUUCUCGCAUUUUUUCCCAUACAGAUGUUUGGCUAAUGAGAUGAUGGCAAGAAUGAAUUUGCGAGCAAACAAGGGAAAGGCAAUAAUUCUGUAUUCCGUUAUAAAAGAAUGUGUACUCGCCAGCAAUCCAAGGGCAACUGAAAGCAACAUAGACUAGAUCAUGGGGGAAAUAUCUGAAGUAUGCCCCUGAAAGAGCUGGAGGAGGUGGCCGAAAAGAGAACAAUGACUACUAGGCUUUAAUUAAAAAUAUAGUUUUUUGUGGGUCACUCACACUCUUGGAAAAAAACCACUGUAGUUAAAUAUCUUAACUAUUGCUUCUGCAAUAGAAAGUAAUUAUCAAAGUUAAUAAAUUUUAUACUAUCAUUCUAUUAAUUUUUGUUUUUGAAUUGAAAUUUAAUAUUUGAAAUCAUGUGAAAAGUCUGACAAAUUUAUUUUGCCUUUCAUUUGCGUGUAUAAAUGAAUUUAACCUUGUAUCAUUGUUGUAAUUUUUUACAGUGGAAGUUAUAGAGUUUCACUUGUAUUAUUCAUGUUGUUGUCAUUAUUCUUUUUGUAAGAAUUAAAUUAGGGAAGGAAGGGUUAGUAAUUGUAUUUAGAAUUAUGGAUUACAGCCUGAUGUUUACCAUUUGUCAGCAUGUACACUCAACAUUGCAAUAAAGAUCAAUAAUAUUUUCAAAA